ACCCUAUACAUGCCAUAGACUAGAAUCACUUGAGUUUACUUACGCCAAUAGCGUUAACUCGACAUGUGAUAAUAUCUCUGAUGGCCUCCAACCCGAGCUAACCUGGAAACUCUAGAAAACAUGGGAAAGAAGGGGGGUAAGCUUUCGCUUAGUAAGUUCAUAUGAAAACAAUAAGCAACUCAUUAACUUGUUUUAUCAAUGUUUACAACAUAUUCUCAAGUUCACUACAAGCUGUCAUCCUGAGCAACGGUCACUAAAUUAUUUAUCUCUGGAGCUAAGAAACUCCGAAUUAAGUUCCGUUAAUUUUCCCUGAAACUAGAAUUAUUUUACUUUCUUUCAUAAAAUUUCAAGAAUUUUUGGUUAAUCCAAAUAGUACAGUUUAUUAGUUAAAAUCCCCCCUGUUUCAGGGUAUGACCACUCUGACCCCUGUGCACUACAAACCGAAUUUCUCCUUGUACAAAAUUCCAAAAACCAUUUAGUUUAUUUUUCCUAAAAAUAGGCUCAAUAAGGAAUCCAUGAAUGUAAGGUAUGACUCUUAAUAAUGUUUGUACAAUUUUUGGUGAAUUUCUAAAGUCAGAAAAGGGGAUCUCGAAUUCAUUCAGACCCUGUUUCACAAGAAUUCAAAUAUCACACAAUAUGGAAUUCUUUUUCUUCCCCUGUUUCUUUCAUGUGAAAAUAGACUCAUUAAGCUUUAAUCCCAUAUUUUAUUCAGCCUCUAACUGAUUUUCCACUAUUUUUAGUGUAUUUUCAAAGUUACACUACUGCAGUAACUCAAAUCUGUCAAGGCUAAAUUACUCAUUCAUGAUCAUUGUUCACAAAAUUAAUACAACAUCGUUUGUAUAAUCAUCACCGAGACAUUCAUAUCACAUUUUCAUUUACCAUCUUACCAUAUUGUUGUUAUGUCGAGUUUUCAACUCGAGGGUUAAGUACAUACCUGUUCAAAGUAUUCAUUUUACAACAUUUACCAAUACGUCCCUUUCAUCUCGAGUAUUCCUCCAUUUGAGUAGAAUUUUACCCGUUGAACACAUCGGAAUAUAAUUCGGAUACAUGGAAAGUUUGCACAUAAGUGCCACAUAUGUAGCCAAGCUACCAUGUAACCCGCCCAUAAGUGAACUCGGACUCAACUCAACGAGCUCGGGCGUUCGCAUCCAUAAGUGAACUCGGACUCAACUCAACGAGCUCGGAUGCCUAGUUACAUCUCACGAACUCGGACUCAACUCAACGAGUUCGAACAUUCGCAUCCAUAAGUGAACUCGGACUCAACUCAACAAGUUCAGAUGCUCAACCAUCCUAGUGACAUGUCACUUGUAUCCUAAUCUAUUCCUAAGGUUCAAACGGGAUUUUCCUCGAACACAUAUCCUUGCCAUCUUCCGUAAAAUACCGAAACCGAUACUCAGUAGCACUUUAUAUUUAACAGAUAAUACACAUAACUUUCAUUUUAUUCGAAAAUAACCACAAAGCAUAUAUUUCAUGAUAAAAAUCAGCAUAUCAUAUAUUUAAUAUCAAUAACUUAAAAAUAACAAUUAUGCUACAUUAUUUACACAUGAACUUACCUCGAUACCACAAAGGUGAAAAGACAUACUCGUUCAUAAAUCGAUUUCUUUCCGUUCUAGGUCCAAAUCUCAAUUUUCAUCAUCUAUAACAUCACGUUUAGCCUACUAAUCAGUCACAAUAUUCAUAUGGGUCUAAAUAUCAUAUUUUUACAAAUUUUCAUUUUGACCCCUAAACUUUUGCAUAUUUGCACUUUUGCCCCAAUGCUCGUGAAUUAAUUUUUAUUCAAUUUCUAUAAGGUUUAAGACAUGCUGAACAUUUUUCUCUUCUAUGGCAACUCCAAAUUCUCACUAAUUCACACACUUAUGACCAAUUUAUAACUUUUACAAUUUAACCCCUUUUUGACAUUUUUACCGAAAUUCAUUGAAUAAAACUCAUAUUUAACACAUCAAACAUUCAUUAUCCACUAUAAAUCAUCAAAACACAACCAUAUCAUGAAUGGGUAAAUUUUUAAACUCUAAUUUCUUUUCAAUCAAUUGGUAGAAAUAGAAAAUUUAAGCUUCGGGGAUCUCAAAAAUACGAAAAUCAUUAAAAACGAGACAAAAACCGUACCUAUAUAAGCCAUAGAAGCUGGGCCGAAUGGAGCUCAUCCAUGGCUGCCAUUUUCAGUU
rnacentral:lncRNA from 1 species